CUGGGGAAUUCAAACUUGUGUUAAGAAAAUGUGUCCCAGUGUGCAAUGGCUGCAAACAGCAGCUUCCUUGGUAGUGUAUGCAGCCUGUUUGUUGUAUGGGUUGCUCUAAAGGACCUUGGAGACAGUC
ensembl:snoRNA SNORA70 Small nucleolar RNA SNORA70